UUUGACAUCGAGUUAAAUAAUUAUUCUAAAAUGUAGAAUUUUAAUGUGUGGCCCUCAAACGGAAUGGUGUCGGUGGGUCGGUGCUCUCGAAGUCCCUUCACGAAUCAUGAGUGGAUGCGUCUGCAUUGCAAUUUAGAGGAAAUGUGAGAUUGAAAUUUACCCCAAAAAAAUAAAAAGAAAAAAAUGGAAAAAGAAAACAAUAUCAUCAAUUAAUUAAUUAAUAUACAAACAGAGAUUACAGUCAUCCACUAGUCUUCAUACGUAUAAAAACGUCACAUCCCACCACUACAUUUUGUUGGUUUACUCCAUCAGAUCUGUGUUAAUUCUUUCAAAUUCACCGACUUUUCUCUGCAGGUAUUCAUACAUGAUACAUAUCGACAAGUAUAAUCUUCAAAUGCGUGUUUUUUCAUUGUGAAUUUUUCGAGAGAUUAUCAGUCAGAAUGGUGAUUUAUGGACCAUUAACACCUGGUCAGGUCAGUGAUUAUUUCUUGAUUGUACCAAUUUUUGAGCUUGUUACUCUAGAUCUUAAUUAUUUUAAGUGGAUUUUGAAUUUUAUACUCGCGGAUUUUGUAGAAUUUUUUACAUGUUUUAACUACUAUAGCAAACAACAGUUUAUUAUGUACUUAUAAUGAUGAGUUCCUUUUAAAGUUCUGUCCUUGAUGUUUUGAUGAGUUAAGUUACUUGAUAAAUCAAAACAAAGCUUGAUGAGUUAAUUAUUUUUCUUUUGAGUGAAUUGCAGGUGUCAUUUUUUCUUGGGAUAGUGACAAUAAGCGUGGCUUGGAUAUACUCUGAGUAUCUGGAGCACCGGAAAAAUUCCUCAUCCAAACCGUGAGUUGGAAAAGCUAUCUGGAUCUUUGAUUUUAUUAAAACAUAAAAUGUUGAAGUAAUUGAGACAAUGUGUGGAAGAUGUUCUAAGUGAUAUGUUAUGGUUGCUUUUUGAAGCAUUUGUUGAAUGGCAUGAAUUUUGGUAUUGCAGCUGCUCGAAUGGCUUAUGAAAUUAUAUACUAUUAUUAUUAUUAUUAUUUUAUUUUAUUUUAUUUUUCCUGAGUCUAUGAGACAUAUGGAUUUUGUUGAAUUUAAUGAGUGUAUUAUCUGGUGUGAAAGCUGAGUGGAGCCAAAAGGCCCAAAACAAUAGUGACGAACAUAAUGUUAAUGUAUAGUUCUACAUGUUUUCAUCCAAUUUUUAAGGCUUUUGUUACAUCAAUAAUGUACUUCAAAUCCAAGAUUCCCUUUUUGUUCUUUAGGUAAUUAAGGAAUGAUUUAUAUUGUGCUAUAAUGAUAUUCUUUAUUCUGAAGGAUCGUAAAUUUCCCCGUCAAAAUAUUGUACAUUUCAGUGGCAGAAAUCCUGAUAUAAAUUUGGUCGAGUUGGGAAAGGAGACAGUCAAAGAAGAUGACAGAGCUGUUCUAUUGGAAGGAGGUGCUCUUCAGUCGGCAUCUCCUAAAGUUAGAAAUUCAUCUGCAACAUCACACAUUGUCAGGUUAGCAACAAAUGAGGAUACAGAAAGUUGUUGUACGUAACUUUGCUUGCUUAAAUAUACUUAUCUUCUCAGGUUCCUUACGUUGGACGAGUCAUUCCUACUUGAGAAUCGGUUGACUUUGAGGGCCAUGUAUGUUGACCUGGUUUUAAUAAUUUAAGACUGUGUUAUAAAUUAUGAAUUGUAGCGUAUAACUUUCUUUUUAUUUCUUUCUCUCUCUCUCUCUCUUUUUCCCUCUUCAAUGCAGAUCAGAAUUUGGUGCUCUUUUGAUCUACUUCUACAUAUGUGAUCGCACAAAUCUUCUUGGUGAAUCGAAAAAGGUUGAAUCCUACUAUUUUGUUACUUAUCUGCUCUCCUGGUACAUAUUUGGCAUUGUAUUUGACAAACAGAUGGCUUCAAAUAUAAAAUUGUAAAAGAUAUAGUUAUAUUUAUAAAAUUAUGAAUAGGAAGUUGUGAUUGUAAAACAUGUGAGAUCAACACUUAAACUGGUGGAAUAUAUAAACUUCAUAAUGUUUUGCUGUUAUACAACAAAGACAACGUAAAAAAAAAAUGUUUGAGGUAGUACACAUUGGUCUGAUAUUUUAGCAAUACGCUUAUUAGAAUAAAGUAGGACUAUUCAUUUAGCUGUCACAUGUAUCUAAAGAAGCAAUAUGUAAUGCAGCAACUGUAGCUUUGUUUCUAUUCCUUUCUUAUUGGUUUCCAUUACGGUGUCUUCCAUAAUUAGAUGUUGACCUGUUGAAUAUAAUAAACCGGGUCCUAAUACUGGUACAUUUGGAGAAAAUGAAAAACUUGAGCUGUGAUUCCGGAUGGUCAACUGAUGUUUCAUCAAAUCAGUAAUAAAAUCACAUAAGGUGGAUGGUGUUUAAACAUGUGCUGCUACUGUUUCUAAUUUAUGAAAUGCUACCUAUAUGAAUGUGAUGAUUGAUUUGGUCCUUGUGUUUGCAGAGUUACAAUCGGGAUCUCUUUUUGUUUCUAUACUUCCUUCUCAUCAUAGUUUCGGCAAUUACUUCUUUCAAGAUACAUAAUGACAAGUCGCCAUUCUCUGGGAAGACGAUAAUGUAUUUAAAUAGGCAUCAAACUGAGGAGUGGAAAGGAUGGAUGCAGGUAAUUAAGUUCCCCAAAAAAUUCAUUUACCUGUUGAUUUAUGAUUGCUACUGAACAGUUUCUGCAUGUGGAGUAUUGUAUUUGUUUUGUGUGCUUAUUGUUACAAAUUCCUUUCUUGUUCCUUUUUCCUCUGCAGUCAGGUUUGCGCAUUAAUGUUUUUGUAGAUUUAUAAAAGCAUACCAAUUAUCGUACUUAAGUGAUGGAAGAAGACUUUGAGUGAACCAGCAGACUUGUCAUUUAAUCUAAGCAUACUAUGAGCACUGACAGCCUUGUACCUCCCUUCUCGACUAUCUCCUUAUACUCUAUCCUUAGUAUCUUAUUUCAGUUCUCAGAUGUUACUUCGAGAAUUAAGUAUUAUCGCUAUAGAAGCAAAUCCUGAUCGCUUGUCUUGUGACGUUAUCUGUUCCAAUGUGCCAUUUUGAUUAACCUCAAGAUACUAGUAUAACUUUGUUUCACUUAUAGACACUUCUCCAUUCUUGCCUAGAAUUAUAUCACUGACUAUUUGGCACCUAAACUUGUUGUGAGAUAUAGACAUGAACAGUUUAUCAAAUUUUUUGAAGGAAUAAGUUGCAAAAGUAAUCCCCGAUCAUCUUGAAAAGGAAGGGCCUCGUUUUUACUUAAGAAGGGUACAUAAGGUUGUGGGACAUUGUAUCUAAGGCACUUUCAGUUUGAGUAAUUUGUCUGCUGAAAUGAGUUAAGCCACAGUAUUAAGAAAACAGUUCCUAUUUGACAUUUGAGUCGUUCUUUAAAAAUAUCUUCCAAUUAUUGAGCACAUUGAUAUUCUGGGUAGUCUGCUGUAGAUAUUAUUCAUCUUGUCUAUGUCAUAAUGUUAUUUUGCAAUCUUCUUCUCUUCUGCAGGUCUUAUUUCUUAUGUAUCAUUACUUUGCUGCAACCGAAAUCUAUAAUGCCAUUCGAGUUUUUAUUGCUGCAUAUGUGUGGAUGACUGGCUUUGGAAACUUCUCAUAUUAUUACAUCCGCAAGGAUUUCAGCCUUGCUAGGUUUAUUCAGGUGCUAUUUUGCCAUGAGUUUUAGGAUAAAAUCCUGAUUUCUCAAAUGAACCUUCCUCCUGACAGAUUAACAUUUGAUUGGGGCAGAUGAUGUGGCGGCUUAAUUUCUUGGUGUUUUUUUGCUGCGUUGUGCUUAAUAACAGUUACAUGUUAUACUACAUAUGCCCCAUGCACACGCUUUUCACUCUCAUGGUUUACGGGGCCCUUGGCAUUUACAACAAGUACAACGAGCAGGGGGCUGUCAUUGCUGGCAAAAUCAUAGCCUGCUUCUUGGUGGUCAUUUUGAUUUGGGAGGUGCCUGGGAUGUUUGAACUGUUGUGGAGUCCAUUCUCUUUCUUGCUUGGUUAGUAACUUCUUCCGUUGCUACUUUCACCCUGUGGCCAUCGGAUAUAAGCAUCUCAAUUUUAUGCGUCAUAUUUCAGGCUAUGCAGAUCCUUCAAAAGCAAAACAGCCCCCCUUGCAUGAGUGGCAUUUCCGCUCAGGCCUUGAUCGAUACAUAUGGAUAAUUGGGAUGAUAUAUGCGUACUAUCAUCCAACGGUAAGAUUUCGUUCAUACUUGUCUAUGAUGCACUGAUACGGACAUGUGUGUCUCACACGAUACAUGUCGAAUACGUUGACUCGUGGUUUUUCAAAAAAAUACCGAGACGACACGUCGUUGACGUGUUUAUUAAAUUUUUUAAAAUUCUUAACUUAUAUAGGCCCUGUUUGACCUACAUUAUUUCAAAAAAGUAUAUUUUUAAACAGUGAUUUGACAUCAUUUCAACCACACAUUCUUCAAUAAAAUAAUAUUACACGCAAAUCCAAAACUUUUCCUUAUUUUUUAACCACACAUUUCCCAUCGAUACACUAUUUAAGAAUGCAUUCUUAUGGAAAUAAUGUGGCACAAACAAGGGCAUAGUAUAAAUAUAGUUUUAUACUUAUUAUUGAUUUUUCUUAUUGAAAUUUUUUAUAUAUGAAUACUUAUUUGUUAUUUACUAAUAAUUUUAAGUUAAAAAUAUAUAAUAGCUACAGUAAAAAGGAAAAAUGAUUAUUAUAGAGUGUCCGAAUAACGUCGGUAUCGACAUGUGUCCAACACGGACAAGCUACCCUAAUUAGACCGUCCAUGGACUCCAUGCUACAGAGAUACUUGUGUUGUUACCUGUCAUUGUUAAUACAAGCAUAAUUUUGUAUGUGUACUUCAAACACAUCAUGGUAGUCUUUGUUAUUUCGCUUUUAGAUUUCCUUCUUGUUCACACCUCCUGAAGCUGUUCGAAUUUAUUUAUUAGGUAGAGAGAUGGAUGGAGAAACUGGAGGAAGCUGAACCAAAACGUAGGAUAUCAAUCAAAAUGAUUGUUGUGAUAAUUUCAUUAACGGUAUUACAUCAAUCUUUCAGAACAAUCUUUUAUAUAUCAAUCCUGCAUCUAAUACCAGUGAUUUCAUGAUUUCAGAUUGGAUAUCUAUGGCUGGAGUAUAUAUACAAGCUUCCAAAAAUUACAUACAAUAAAUAUCAUCCUUAUACAUCAUGGAUUCCCAUUACGUAUGAACAUCCUCUAAUUGCUUUGUUAGAAUAUGGACAUUACAUACUUCCUGUAUCUGCACACUUUCUUUUGACCAGGGUUUUACAUUGUACCUUUUUUAUUGAUCAGUGUAUACAUAAGCUUGCGAAAUGUCACCCUGCAUUUCCGUAGCUACACGUUGACACUUUUUGCGUAAGUAGUCUGUGAUUGGUAAAUUUAUUCUCCAAGGAAUGACUAGAUGCCCCUGACAUUUAUUCCCUUGAUAAAUAGAUGGCUUGGAAAGAUCACUUUGGAAACUUAUAUCUCGCAGAUCCACAUAUGGUUAAGGUAUGCCAAACAAGUUAUAAGGUCUUAAUUUGCAGUAUAUUCUUAGGGCUUCAAAAAAAUCUAAAUCUAUGGAUCCGCCCUUCUCAUGGAUUUGAGUCUACAUCUAUUUAUUUUUAUUUACAAGAAUUCUUGCAUUCAGCAAAAGACAUUACAUUUGUAGCAUAAAUAACGGAAAAUAUUUAUUUUGAGACUUGUAAUUUUACACUUUUGAAUGACAAAAUGAUUUAUCAAUACUCGAAUAACAUGUUUGGCAAACUUUUUUCAAUCAGUACAAGCUGUUGACUGUUGAUAAUAUUUGAGAUUUUCUUUUGGCACCAUGCAAUAUGGUUUCUAGAUUUUAAGUAAUGGGAGAUUAUGCAUAAUUCUAAUGAGAUUCAAACUACGAAUGCAGGUCUGGUGUGCCAGAUGGUCAGCCCAAACUGUUACUUUCUUAGAUUCCGAAUUACCCUUUGUUAAACUUCAUGCUCACUACGUCAAUAUAUGUCGCGGUAGUGUACAUAUUCUUCUUGUUCAAUUAAUUAUUUUGAUAGUGCAUUGAAAAGGGCAUGAAGAUAACUUCUGUUGCGCUCUUACCUUUUUUCUUCAUCUUCAUAAAUACUUGCAGGUGUCUUACCGCCUUUUUGAACUUACAAAUAAGUUAAAAUCCACAUUUUUGCCAACAAAAGACAAUAAACGCCUUGGCCACAACUUGGUCGCUGCAGUGGUGAUAGCAAGCAUUUUAUACACAUUAUCUUUUGUACUAUUAAGAGUACCUCAAAUGCUAGUAAGUGUACCAUAGUAUUUUUUAACGUCAUUGUUGGCCAUUCAUGUUCCCAUCGUUCUUUCCUGCACUGUGAUAUUUUCAUGUAGUAUUUAUGGCAUGUUUGUAACUGAGGAUUAGAUAGCACUCACUCCUUACAGAUGUUGCUUUUCAAUUACAUCAAACAGCUGUUAAAACACAUCCACCCAUUGUAAGUGAAGUUCAAUAAUCUUGCAACUUCGUCGUUUUUCUUUGUAAAUGCAGGUGUGAAAAUUCGAUGUGUAGAGGAAAGGACAAGACCUCCAUGAAGCAUCGUGGAAGAUGGAUCAUCAAAUUGAGCUAAGUUACGAACUGUGGAUUGGUUACAAUAAUAGCAUAGAAAUUUGUAUAGAAAACGUCUCGUAAUUAAAUUUGAUCUUUUUCACUUAAUAUGUCAUCGACUAUUGGAUCACGAGCAUGAUCGAGGAGUGUUUGUUCACUAUUUUUAUACCAGUUUAGUGAUUGUUGUUCAUUAAUUUUAUACCCUUAUAUUCAAGAGGUUACUUGUUCUUUCGAAAUACAUUA
rnacentral:lncRNA from 1 species